rnacentral:lncRNA from 1 species
GUUAAUUUUGCUCAAGUAAGAUUUGGUCACACGCCUAGCUAGCUAAGCUAGUUUGGUUUAGUUUGUUAGUUAUGUGAUGGGACUUGCUAACCGCACCGUUUAUAUAUAGACACAUGAAUUCAUAUCAUACAGACAAUGUUACUGGAACUAAAUUUAGGUAUCAAACCAAGCAGUGUCACGUACCAAAAAAAAAAAAAAAACCAAGCAGUGUCCCAAACGUAAGAGUGUUCUAGUGUUAUAAAACUUUGAAAUUAAACGAGAUCAUGAAAUCCUCUUUGGAUGCAGGUUCUAACAAUCAUGGAAAGGGAAUAUAAGCACGAAAUUAACCAUAAAAUGAAAAAUGGAUCAAGUUCAAUACAUGCUCGAUGAAAUUAAACGAGAUCAUGCAUCCGUGAACCACGUACUGGAAUAAAUUGUGCAGCUGGGUAAGGCAGAGCAUGACAGAUCGCUGGUUCUAACUCGAGGGUUUAGGGUUUUGACCGAUGGACUUGUAUAUAAGAGAAAGUUACUCAUCAGAGGCUCAAAGCAGCAGCAGGUAAGAUGUAGCUAUAUGGCAGCACCUGCAUGCAUGUCUCUGAAACGAAGCAGCACCUGCAUGCAUGCAUACCCAGCACCUGCAUGCACACCACCCCGUGUGAGAAAGACCGAUUUAUAUGGCAGAAUUGGACAUCAUGGUAACGAUGAUCAUCAUUAAUAUCCAAACCAACCAAACAAAGAAACACCAAAUUGACCUUCAUGGCUUUGGCAAUUGGGAUGGAAAACCGAUUAUGAGACACUUCCGAUAUGAUUAGUGGAGUCUCAUCUCACUCUAUCUUAUACGCCAUGUAAAUUAUUUCAAAUCUGAAAUAAAUGUUUUUUUAUCCAUCGAUCAUCAAGACACUCCCGUUUAAGCAAACAUAACUUCAAGUUUUAUUAAAAACCAGUACAUUAUUGUUGGUAUGAUCUAUCGAGCAUUACUUAAGAGUAGUUAGAGUACUAAUCACUAGAUUCACACACGGCCGACACACCCAUGCACACUUCCGGUGGCAGAAAUUUUCAGAUAAACCUUUGGAUGAUUGUCGAAGACUUGAAGCCAUUGAUAUCAAUAUAUUCACUUAUAUUUGUAUCGAGGAAAAAGAAAGAUUCACUUGUUAUCCAUUCUACUAUGUUUUGCCGUAUAAUGUGAUCGAUGUGCCUGGCAAAUUAGUCAUGUAGUGGAUAUGAAAAAUGGUCCCCAUGAAAUCUUCCACUUAUUCCAUCAAAAGAUUUCAUCCCUCUCCUUUCUCCUAAACACACCAACAUCAACUACUGUUUAAGCGUGCGAUUACCACUGUUUAGCCUAAUCAAAGCAGACAUGGAAUUGAAAUUUUUUUGUUAUAUCUGCAAUGCUUCACGUUUGUUGGUUCGGUUGGGAGUUUAUGGUUGGUUAAGUCAUCACGGCGUCUUUCCAAGUUAUCGGCCGGUCUCCAUCAAACUCAAACUUAACACCGAAAAUUAUUAAGAGUGAG